rnacentral:ncRNA from 1 species
GGGAGUUUGACUGGGGCGGUCGCCUCCGAAAGGGUAUCGGAGGCGCUCAAAGGUUCCCUCAAAAUGGUCGGAAACCAUUUGAAGAGUGCAAAGGCAAAAGGGAGCUUGACUGCGACAUCGACGGAUGGAGCAGGUACGAAAGUAGGACUUAGUGAUCCGGUGGUAUGAAAGUGGGAUUGCCAUCGCUCAACGGAUAAAAGCUACCCUGGGGAUAACAGGCUUAUCACUCCCAAGAGUUCACAUCGACGGAGUGGUUUGGCACCUCGAUGUCGGCUCAUCGCAUCCUGGGGCUGUAGCAGGUCCCAA